GGGCGCGUAGCUCAGUUGGUAGAGCAACGGGCUUUUAACCUGUAGGUCCCAGGUUCGACCCCUGGCGCGCUCACCA
rnacentral:tRNA from 1 species